CUGCUGGUUAGAACAGGGUACUUUUUUCAUGUCCUGCUGGUUAGAACAGGGUCCCUUUUUCAUGUCCUGCUGGUUAGAACAGGGUCGCUUUUUCAUGCCCUACUGGUGAGAACACUGGGUCAUUUUUUAAACAAAGUAUUUGUCUAGAACAGGAUCGCUUAUUUAACUGUUUAAGAUACAGUCUAGAACUGCAUCUAUUUUGUACAGUCUAGAACAGGGUAUACAU
rnacentral:lncRNA from 1 species